CAGAGUCUUGCCCUCUGUCACCUAGGCUGGAGUGGAAUGGCACGAUCUCGGCUCACAGCAACCUCUACCUCUCAGGCUGGAGGCUGGAGAUGAAGUGGCACAAUCUCAGCUCACUGCAGCCUCAACUACACAGGGUCAAGCGGUUCUACCACCUAAGCCUCUUGAGUAGCUGGGACCACCAUGCCCGGCUAAUUUUUUUUUCAUACAGUCUCACUAUGCUGCCCAGGCUUGUCAACAUUAUUUUGAUAGAGGUUUUCUAGAAGAUUCUGAAGCCCAAUUUCUGAAACAUAUUCCAUCCAGCUUAGUCUGUAUCUAUCCACAUAUGCCAAGCCCAAUGCCUGAAACAAAGAGUAUACUCAAUAUA